AAUUUAAAAGAAAACCAAAACAAAACAGUUACAAGAAGGAUUUAAUCACAAUGCGGCGCAAAGGGGAGGGGCCUGCUACAUAAAUAAACCAUUUCAUACGCAAGAGGGUGGAUCCGGGUCUCCAAACGGGCUGACACACGGACCCUAUCCCCCCUUGAAACGGCGCCGUUUUAAUAACAGGCCAUUUAACCUUCCUUUCCCAUUCCUUCCCCAAAACGCAACUAAUCUUUCCAAUUAAAAUAUAUGCUAUCAGCCCAAUCCCUUAGGGUUUCAUCUAGCAGGUGCCGCCAACAAGAGGAGCAUUUGAGUUAUGAAAUCAAUUUGCAGCCUUAAGAUCUCUCCCCUGUUUUCGAUUUCAACGAAACAAAGAAGAUCCAUGGCGAAUUUGCAAAACCCGGCCGUACAGAGGAAACGUGCGAAGGAGGCCGUGCAAGGAUUCACUCGUGGGAGCCUCAACUUUCUAACCGAUUCCAGAAGCUUCUGGUGCCCUCCUCUGCUGCACUCUCUCUUGGUGUUUUGGGCCUCGGGUAUGGGUUUAGGAUUAUUGGGUCAUGGGUUAGGGAUUUUAGAAUUUGGGUUGAAAUUAUAUUUGGGCUGGUAAAAUUUGUAAAAGGACAUUGAUAUUUGGAUUUUUUGUUUGUGUGUUUUUUUUAUUUUUGGUUUUUAAUUUCUAUUUUUUAUUCUAAUGGGCCCGGGCGAAAUGGGCCUAUUACAAGUAAAGUUUUAGAAUUGUGAUUGAUUGAAGAAUUAGAGUCAAGUGUUUGAGCUGUCAUUUGUUUUCGUGUCAAAAGAACGAGUGACAUUCUAAUAUAUUCACUUACUCUGUUAAUCCUAA